UAUUCUCAAUUCUCUCAGUUUUUGCUGAGAUGAUAUUGGACUUGGAGGUUAUUGCUGGCAUCCUUGUGAAACCAGCUCCUCUUAAAUGCAUCAGUGUGAAUAUUCACUUCAUAUUCAGUGUGAUAAUUAUCUACGCUGUGUGUGAGUGAUGCAAUUUCAUGCUUCUAACUGUCGCAAGACACUACUUUGAC
rnacentral:misc_RNA from 1 species